UACGAAGGGUGCAAGCGUUAAUCGGAAUUACUGGGCGUAAAGGGUGCGUAGGCGGUUCGUUAAGUCUGUCGUGAAAUCCCCGGGCUCAACCUGGGAAUGGCGAUGGAUACUGGCGAGCUAGAGUGUGUCAGAGGAUGGUGGAAUUCCCGGUGUAGCGGUGAAAUGCGUAGAGAUCGGGAGGAACAUCAGUGGCGAAGGCGGCCAUCUGGACCAAUACUGACGCUCAUGCACGAAAGCGUGGGGAGCAAACAGG
rnacentral:rRNA from 1 species